rnacentral:rRNA from 1 species
UACCGAGGUCUCAAGCGUUGUUCGGAUUCAUUGGGCGUAAAGGGUGCGUAGGCGGCGCGGUAAGUCGGAUGUGAAAUCUCGGGGCUUAACUCCGAAACUGCAUUCGAUACUGCCGUGCUUGAGGACGGGAGAGGAGAGUGGAAUUCCUGGUGUAGCGGUGAAAUGCGCAGAUAUCAGGAAGAACACCCGUGGCGAAAGCGGCUCUCUGGAACGGUACUGACGCUGAGACGCGAAAGCGUGGGGAGCGAACAGG